GACAGAGGGUGCAAGCGUUGUUCGGAAUCAUUGGGCGUAAAGGGCGCGUAGGCGGUUUUGUAAGUCGGAUGUGAAAGCCCAGGGCUCAACCUUGGAAGUGCAUCCGAAACUGCAUAACUGGAGUCUCGGAGAGGGUGGUGGAAUUCCCAGUGUAGAGGUGAAAUUCGUAGAUAUUGGGAGGAACACCGAUUGCGAAGGCAGCCCACUAAGCAAUGAUUGACGCUGAGGCACGAAAGCGUGGGGAUCAAACAGG
rnacentral:rRNA from 1 species